GGGUUGUGAGGUUAAGCGACUAAGCGUACACGGUGGAUGCCCUGGCAGUCAGAGGCGAUGAAGGGCGUGCUAAUCUGCGAUAAGCGCCGGUAAGGUGAUAUGAACCGUUAUAACCGGCGAUACCCGAAUGGGGAAACCCAGUGUGAUUCGUCACACUAUCAUUAACUGAAUCCAUAGGUUAAUGAGGCGAACCGGGGGAACUGAAACAUCUAAGUACCCCGAGGAAAAGAAAUCAACCGAGAUUCCCCCAGUAGCGGCGAGCGAACGGGGAGGAGCCCAGAGCCUGAAUCAGCAUGUGUGUUAGUGGAAGCGUCUGGAAAGGCGCGCGAUACAGGGUGACAGCCCCGUACACAAAAGCGCAUGUGCUGUGAGCUCGAUGAGUAGGGCGGGACACGUGGUAUCCUGUCUGAAUAUGGGGGGACCAUCCUCCAAGGCUAAAUACUCCUGACUGACCGAUAGUGAACCAGUACCGUGAGGGAAAGGCGAAAAGAACCCCGGCGAGGGGAGUGAAAAAGAACCUGAAACCGUGUACGUACAAGCAGUGGGAGCCCCACCACUAAGCCAGUGGUGAACUCCACAUACGCAUCCUUUGCUGAAGGCAAUGGUUAACGGAGCGAAAGCGACGUUCAACCGCAAAACAAGCAGAGGGGGCUUAGUGGUGGGGUGACUGCGUACCUUUUGUAUAAUGGGUCAGCGACUUAUAUUCUGUAGCAAGGUUAACCGUAUAGGGGAGCCGGAGGGAAACCGAGUCUUAAUUG
rnacentral:rRNA from 1 species